rnacentral:lncRNA from 1 species
GCCAUUGCAGGCUCCUCUGGAGAGGCUCUCCAGGACAGUAAGUUACACAGCGACAUCCACCUCCGGGCUGCCAAAUCCUGACAGCUCAAAACAAUGGAACAAAGAGUAACGGGAAAAGAACAGUCCACACCACCGCAUCCAGCAUUGUCCUGGAUUCCCUUCGGCUUGCUUACAAUGAGUGACGUCCUUCGGUCUGGGGCGCACCACUUCUGCCAGGAUCGACCCCAGCCCAUGCCCCAAACUUGGGAACCAUGCCACAGCCAACAGCGACGCAAUGUAUAAGUCAUUAGGCAAGAGAAACUGAAGUCACUUGAUUUUUAUCAUUAUUAUUCCCCACACAACAACAGCUUGUCCCUCUCCCCAGUUUACUUCUGCCUCCAUUUAUCCCACCAUGCCCACCAGUAAUCCAGACCCUCCAGAGCACAGAACGGGGACAAAACCUUCCAAUAUGCAGUUUCCCAGGCAGAGCCAUGAGGAGCUAAUCUCUGUGUACAUUAUGUGAACUGAAGUAACUAAUUUAGCAGCUUAUUCCCCCAGGUAGCCAGUGACCACUGUAUGUCCCUGCUAUUUAAUUUGACAGUUAACCUUCUGAGGGCUGGUAGUCAUUUUAGAUUAACCUCUGUAUCUUAAAAAUUAGUAAGCAAUUUCCUUCAGGUUAAUUUUUUUUUUAAUUGUUAAUUUUUCCACCUAUUUCCAGUGGUCAUCUCAUCUCCCACAUUUGUUUGCCCUUUUUAAUGUAUCACUUUGUGAAUCAGAACUGGUGGAGGGUAGGGGGACGCACUACUAAGAAGCUGGAAAACAUUUUUAAAGAAGUAAGACGAAGCAUUUGUGCCAUAGUUUACAAUUAUAAUAAAAUAAAUCUAGAAACCAUUUCAUGUAUGAGAGCGUGUAUAUUAGAAAAAAAUAUUCCUCUCUAUAAUGGAUAACCAUCUUAGGAACAGUAGAAUGUGAGUAAUUUGUCAGUUUUUCUUUUAAUUAAAACUGUGAAUAUAGUUCAUGCACUGUUUGAUUCAGCAUCAGCAUUUUGGAUGGGGGCUAAAACCGAUUUCCUCUUAAAUCUGUGGGUUUCUCAGGACAACUGGUGAAGUGUGCCUUAAUAUUAAGCUCUUGAACCCAAGAGAGGUUGGCUUGUUCCAAGACCAGUAAAUCAACAGAUAUUGGAGUAAUAGCUCUAAUAAGGCUCAGGACUUCUAACAGUUCUGUAAAUGCUCUUUUUACCAAAACAGCAUCCAUUUUUUCUCUCAGACAACCUGUUUUAAUUCAUUGCAUCAUUACCAAGCUGGUCCACUGUAAAAUGAAUUAAAAUCAUGCUAGUUAGAACAGAUUCAUUCUAGGUAUUUUUCUCAAUGCAAUCCAUGGAACAUUGAACUUUUUUUUUUUUUUUUUUGACAAGCAAGAAAUCUGCCUGACCUAACUCUGAAUCAUUUUUUUUUUAUCGUUGCUACCUUGCAUUUUCCUUGGGAGACGAUUUAAACCAGUGUGAAUUGAGGGUGCUCUGUUCCCACCUUGCAGUGGGCAGGCACACAGUACCCGUGCCCAUUCCAGAACUGUAUCAAGAUCUGCCUAACCGAAAUACAGUACAGUGUGCUCCUUCUGCAGAAAUGUGAAAGCAUGAAUAUACUUUUCUUUUUUUUUUUUUUUUUUUUUUUUUUUUGCUGAGAAGAGGAUGAGCAAAGAAUAUCAUAUGGGUUGGAUAUCAAAGUUUGCAUCCCUCUGCUUCUGCGUUAGACUCAUCUCCCACAUCUCCCUCCCCACAGCUCCAACCAUUCAGGGAGCAGAAAUCACUGUUAUGCUUCCAGGAAACUCUCAUCCCUUGCAGUAUUCAGCUUUAAGUUUUAGUUCCUGCUACCUCACCUGUUUUGACAAAUACCCACAGCACUCAAUAAAAUUAAAACAUCAAUGAACAAAACAGAUCCGUAUGAAGUUUUCCCCACAGAUUAGGAAAGGAGAGGAAGCACAUCUGGUAGAGGAGCGUCGUGUUGCUAAAUAUGUUCAAGUUCCACUCUGAUAGGUUGGAAAGAAUCACAGUGCUGGUGCUGCUGCAUUCCCAGUCUGUCACCGAGAACAACUUCAAAAUACAGAGGUUGCAUGAGACUUCCCUCCAGAACAUCCUCUUACUGCAAGAAGCUGAAGAAAAGUCUCACGUGUUCCCCACCAGUGAAAACAUUCCUGCAGGCUUCACACCCAUUGGCAGCUCACCCUGCGAGCUUCAACCAAGGGUAUGCCAAGGCCGCACCAUGCCCUGCACCUCGUUUAGGAAGUUGCCUGCUCUAAUCUGCCUUUCUAAAAAUCUUAAAGAAUCCAGAAAGAGUGAUACACAGCCCUCUUCCACUUGCAGGUGAUGCAUCUGACAGCAGAAGUGACCAUGCUGCACAGUGGCUGCUUGCUCCUCACCUGCCCAACGGGCAAGUGACAGCGUUGGGCCCAAAGCCUCUGGGACUUUGCUUCAGGAACUGCUCUAAGCCUCUGCCUCAGGAGGCUGUUGCUGCAGGGAAUUUUCCUCCAUCAGCAGGAACUGAAGCAGCUGCAGGAGCUGCAGAUGUAGACUCUAAAUCAUCGUGUCUUUCCCUCUUUCAGGACAAGCUCCUGAGAGAAUUUGGUUUACCACACAUCUGACGUGUGUUUAUGUGUUGCGGAAUGGGAGUAAUGCAAUGAUUCUCAGGGCAUAACUAUUGUGAAAAAAUCAGAGGAGUUUUCAUCUCCCCCUCCGCUUCCCCCCCCCCCCCCCUCCUCCUCAAGGUAGCAUUCCCACAGCAUCACCUUUGGGUAGCUGCUGUUCCAAACCAAAGCAGAUCAUGGUAAUCUAUAAGUAGCCAAAGAAAUGAGAGAUUUCACCUGUGGCUGCAGCACUUCUACUUAUCUCAAGGGCUCUUUAACUAAAUUUAGGUAAGCAAGGAGAAGAGGGCUCUGAACAUCGGUAUCCGAGCGUCUCAAUUGCAUGCCUUGAAACAAAUGUGCCAUGAAGGCAGUCUCAACGGAGGAUACACAACUGCGAAGAAAUAAGAGAGAGGAAAAAAAGAAAAUCUUCAUGUCUCGAACUCAGUUUACCUGCAGUAACUUUAGUCCAGUUACCCCAUGUCAAAAAUAAUCAGGAAGAAGAAUGAUAAAGCGCGAGAGCAUUCUGGGGAAGGCUGCGAUCCCAGUGACACCUCCUUCCCCUGCUUGCCCAG